CCUACGGGGCGCUGCAGUGGGGAAUAUUGGACAAUGGGCGAAAGCCUGAUCCAGCCAUGCCGCGUGUGUGAAGAAGGCCUUCGGGUUGUAAAGCACUUUCAGUGGGGAAGAAAGCCUUGGGGCUAAUACCCUCGAGGAAGGACAUCACCCACAGAAGAAGCACCGGCUAACUCCGUGCCAGCAGCCGCGGUAAUACGGAGGGUGCGAGCGUUAAUCGGAAUUACUGGGCGUAAAGCGCGCGUAGGCGGUCUGAUAAGCCGGUUGUGAAAGCCCCGGGCUCAACCUGGGAACGGCAUCCGGAACUGUCAGGCUAGAGGGCAGGAGAGGAAGGUAGAAUUCCCGGUGUAGCGGUGAAAUGCGUAGAGAUCGGGAGGAAUACCAGUGGCGAAGGCGGCCUUCUGGACUGACACUGACGCUGAGGUGCGAAAGCGUGGGUAGCAAACAGGAUUAGAUACCCCAGUAGUC
rnacentral:rRNA from 1 species